rnacentral:rRNA from 1 species
UCAAGCUACAAAGAGCGCAAGGGGAAUGCCUUGGCACUGGGAGCCGACGAAGGACGUAGCGAUCUACGAUAAGCCACGGUGAGCCGAAAGCAGGCAUCGACCCGUGGAUUUCCGAAUGGGGCAACCUGGCUGAAUAGAACUCAGUCAACAUACGGUGAAUAAAAUAGUCGUAUGUAGGGAACCGCCUGAACUGAAACAUCUAAGUAGGGCGAGGAAAAGAAAUCAACCGAGAUUCCGCAAGUAGUGGCGAGCGAACGCGGAAGAGGCCAAACCGAGAGUAGUAAUACUUUCGGGGUUCGGACAGCGGACGGUAUGCUGAAGGUUAGCAGAAGGACAUGGGACGGUCCACCAAAGAGAGUGAAAGUCUCGUAUGCGAAAACUGAAAGCAGCCAGCUGAAUCCAGAGUACCGCCGGACACGUGAAACCCGGUGGGAAUAUGGGGGGACCAUCCUCCAAGCCUAAAUACUACCCAGUGACCGAUAGUGAAGAGUACUGUGAAGGAAAGGUGAAAAGAACCCCUGACGGGGAGUGAAAAGAACCUGAAACCUUGUGCUUACAAGCACCGAAAGCACAUCAACGUGUGAUGUGGUACCUUUUGUAGAAUGGUCCGGCGAGUGAAUGUAACUGGCGAGGUUAAGUUCUUAAGGAACGGAGCCGAAGCGAAAGCAAGUCUGAAUAGGGCGUCUUAGUCAGUUGUAUUCGACCCGAAACCGGGUGACCUAUCCAUGUCCAGGAUGAAGUUAAGGUAAAACUUGAUGGAGGUCCGAACCCACGGUCGUUGAAAUGCCCGGGGAUGAGAUGUGGAUAGCGGAGAAAUUCCAAUCGAACCCGGAUAUAGCUGGUUCUCUCCGAAAUAGCUUUAGGGCUAGCCUCGUAUUAGAUUACCGGAGGUAAAGCACUGAAUGGGCUAGGGGCCGAGAGGUUACUGAACCCUAUCAAACUUCAAAUGCCGGAAAAUGAUAGUCGGGAGUCAGACUGCGUGAGAUAAGUUUCGUAGUCGAAAGGGAAACAGCCCAGACCCACAGCUAAGGUCCCAAAGUACGGUUAAGUGGAAAAGGAUGUGGAGUUGCACAGACAACCAGGAUGUUGGCUUAGAAGCAGCCACUCAUUAAAAGAGUGCGUAAUAGCUCACUGGUCGAGUGACUCUGCGCCGAAAAUUUAACGGGGCUAAAUCGUACACCGAAGCUUGGGAAUAUCAGUUAUUCUUCAUGGACUUGCUAAGGUAAGACACCAUGGCACGGAGUGCCAUCAAAUUGUCCAGAAGGAUAAAGCGAGCUUGUGAAGAAUAACUGAUGUUGGUAGGAGAGCGUUGAAUGCGGGGUGAAGUCAGAGCGAAAGCGCUGGUGGACUGCAUUGAAGUGAGAAUGCCGGAAUGAGUAGCGAGAUUUAUGUGAGAAUCAUAAAGGCCGAAAGACUAAGGUUUCAGAAGGAAGGUUCGUCCGCUUCUGGUUAGCCGGGAGCUAAGGUGAGGCCGAAAGGCGUAGCCGAUGCACAUACGGUGGAGAUUCCGUAGCCGUCGAAAUAUUUAAGCAAAGGGACACUUAUGAAGGACAUGACCCGGGCGAUGGUAGCCCCGGGCGUAAGGGACUGAAAACAAGUAGGGAAGCAUGUUUGGAUUAAGGCGAGAAAAGCUUUGUGUAUAUAUGAGACGUCCGUACCGCAAACCGACACAGGUAGUCAGGAAGAGGAUUCUAAGGCCAACGGGAGAAGGGUAGUUAAGGAACUCGGCAAAUUGACCCCGUAACUUCGGGAUAAGGGGCGGUGCGUAAGCACCCGCAGUGAAUAGGUCCAGGCGACUGUUUAUCAAAAACACAGCUCUCUGCUAAAUCGAAAGAUGACGUAUAGGGGGUGACACCUGCCCGGUGCUGGAAGGUUAAGAGGAGGAGUGCAAGCUCCGAAUUGAAGCCCCAGUAAACGGCGGCCGUAACUAUAACGGUCCUAAGGUAGCGAAAUUCCUUGUCGGGUAAGUUCC